rnacentral:miRNA from 1 species
GCAGACACAUUCCAGCCAAUCAGCAGCAGACCCUCCCUCCCAGACCCUACCACCUCCUGGACAGCUCACUAAGAAUGCAGCUUCACAAUGAAUGUAAAAUGGAUGCUGUCCAGGAGGUGGGAGGGUCUUGGAGGGAGGGUCUGCUGCUGAUUGGCUGUAAUGUGUCUG